AUUGCGUGAGUGAAGUUAUUUCAUUCUUUCUUUCAGCACAAUUCACACACCACAAGCCUUCUGCCUCAAAGGUGGCAAGGCUGAUUGCGCAGGAGGGGUGGAAGGCCAACUAUCCAAAGCCAGAAAAAAUCGAACGGCUGUGGAAACCAGCGCCCACAGGCACCAUUGAGGCAGAUGAGGUUAUAAUAAAAUGUGUGUCUGAGCAGGCCUGGACAGGCCUGGUCGUCAAGGACUUUGGAGCUGAGGAGGGUCUAGGGGUGGUCGCAACCCGACCGUUUUCUAAAGGCGACAUUGUGUGCGAUUACCACGGAAAGGUAAUCAGAGCAGCCGAAGGGAUGGCCAUGAUGGAGGGACUUCAUGACCAGGCCAGGUACCUCUUCUUCUUCAAAGCUGGACAGAGAGACCUGUGCAUUGAUGCAAAGACUGGCUGCGAUUGCCACAGAGACACAGUUGGCCGAAGAAUUAAAUGUUGUUCUAAGAGGCCCAACCUGGAGCCCCUUCACUGUGUGAUGAAGGUAAACGGAGAGGACAAGGAUGUCAUCCUCUUCAAGGCGCUGCAGGACAUCAGCAUCGACACACAAUUAAAAUUUUACUCUGGAGUAAUAAGAAAGUCUUUCCUUGGCCUGGACCUGGACUGGCUGGAUGAGUAGGCCAGGUCCACAGAUCCAUGAUCUGCUUCUCCACUGGCAGGCCAGUGCGAGCCAGUGCUUUCAACGGGCUGGUGGGACAAAUAGCCUUGGACCAGUAGCACCAAGCCCAAACUCAGGCUGCGUUUCCACUGUCGGACCAGUGCUUAAUCAAAAUGUCCUCAACACGCCUCUCUGGAAUAACAGCACGCAACCUCAUCAUCUCACCAACAAGACGUUUUCUCACAUUGGAAACUAGCAAGAUUGCAAAACGGAACAUAAAUUGUUUGAAUUUUUUGGGUUUUUUUUACUUAUAGAAUUAAAACCCAAGCAACAAUGUUUUACCACAGUUCUACAAUAAAAACAAUGAUACAAUGAUAAUUCAUUUGUGCCAGGACUGCUCUUUAAUCAUGCAGAAAUAAAGUGGUAUUUACUGGUAUUUCUCAAAAGAAAGAGGACAC
rnacentral:lncRNA from 1 species